GCGUUGUUCGGAUUUACUGGGCGUAAAGGGCGCGUAGGCGGCCACCGCAAGUCGACUGUGAAAUCUCCGGGCUUAACCCGGAAAGGUCAGCCGAUACUGCGGGGCUAGAGUGCAGAAGGGGCAACUGGAAUUCUCGGUGUAGCGGUGAAAUGCGUAGAUAUCGAGAGGAACACCUGCGGCGAAGGCGGGUUGCUGGGCUGACACUGACGCUGAUGCGCGAAAGCUAGGGGAGCGAACGGG
rnacentral:rRNA from 1 species